rnacentral:lncRNA from 1 species
UUACAAUCUAUAAAUAAUCUCAUUAUUUUUUAAAAACUAGUAUACCAUUUUAUAUUUGAACACAUUUGGUAGUUUGUACUUUUGUUGAUCAGUUACACAUUUAAUGUAUUUUAAUUAAACAAUAAAUUCUAAUUUCAGUUCAACACUUACCUUAUUAUAUUUUCGUUUUAAAAACAAUUAUGUAACCUGAGGCAUCUUACUUAUGUGCAAAAAAUAUAAAACAAAUUGUUUGCAAUUAUGAAAAUUACGAUUCAACAAUGCCUCAAACUACAUAUGUUACGGUAACGAGCCAAAAUAUUGUCAAACAUUUAAAAGACAGAACUAAAUCAUUGUUAUAACAAACGUAGCGAUAAUAUUAUAUAAAAUAACUUCUUAUUUUCACGCUGAACGAAUUGUGUUACGCAGUGACUAAAUUUUCGAAUUUCAAAUUUUUUUUAAAUUAAAUUAAAAGCACAUCGUCGCGUCAACAAACAAGGUACUAUAUUAAAAUAUUGAUUUUCUGUUAACGACCAUUCGACUAGAUGGAUAAAGCCUGUUUUAUCGCUGAACACUUACAUCUAGAAUAAAAAAAUUACAAUUUUAUAACAUAGUUGUAACCAAUCUGAAUGAGAAUUGUUUUUUCGUUUAUCAUCGUAAAAAUUCAUUUUAUGCGGACAUGGAGAAGUAUUUUCGCAAAGCAGUAUUUUUUCUAUUUUGACACAAACAAAUGAUUAUCACUUUAACAUUUAUGUAAUUAAUAUAUAGUCUACGUGAAUACACAUUGUUCUCGUGUUUCCCUAGUGAUUUUAAAGAAUAUCUAAUUCGAAACUUGAAAAGGCACAGACAAUUUGAAUCUAAUUUAUACGCUGAAAAUAAAAAAUUGUAACUUGAUCAAUAUAACGAUACACAUCAAAAUUUUGAUCGUAUAAAAUAAUACAAUAUUUAUAUUUCAUAUGUUUAUAAUAAUGCUCAAAUUUCAAUUUUAUUUUCUCGAGAUUAUUUCUUUUAAAUGUUUGAAUGAAAUUUGAACAUCUUUUGGGGUUUCAGGUAAACUAAAAAUCUCACAUUGUGAGCAUGAAUAUCAUCUUUCAAAUUAUCGUAAACAUAACAUUAAUACAAAAUAAUUAAUAUGACAAUGAAAUAUUUGAAUUCUGAUAUACGGUACAACGGAGUCUCCUUGUAUAAGCUUGAAGAAUAUUGAAGCCUUGUCUUCAGCGAUUUGCUGCCAAGCAUUUGAGUAUUUAAAAUCGUUAAAUUUCUAAACUCGAAGAUUUUCACGUUUAGAAAUCUUUGUAUCAGCACCACUAGUAUGCAUGAAAGUUUAUGUGAAUAAAAAUUUGUUCAACAGACCAUGUAAAUAUGUAACAGGGAUAUCGUACGUUUUGAACAAAAUUUUAGCUCGUGUAUCGUUUGAAGACUUGAACAUAUCAGACGAAUAUGGAUAUUAAUAUAUACAGUGCAUCUAAAAGAAAUGUGAUACCACUGGGAACUGCAAUUAUAAAAUCGAAAAAUCCUUCAUUAUAUCAUUAUAAACAACUCAAAAUUGUAUACGUAAUUUGGGUGGUGUCAAAUUUAAAGGAGUGACUCGUAUCAAAUUACAUUGUAAAGCGAUAAAGGAUUUUUAAAUUCUUUCAUCGUGAAGAAUUGUCAGUUUUAAUGGUGUACAUGUUCUUUGAGACACCUUGUAUAUACAGGGUAUCAUGUAAGCGGUAACUGUCGAAAUGUGAAGAUUCUAUUUCAAAUUAUAAUAUCAAUAAAGUUCAAGUAUUAUUUAGAGCCUUUUUCUCUUAUUUCAUUUUGUAAUUAUUCGACUAGAUUAAAUGCAUGGUCGCAUUGACUUCCGUGGCAGUAUAAGACCGGACAAGUUAAUUGAAUACAUAACUUUACGAGGAUUAAAAGUUGAUUUCUUUGUGAAAGUAAGCUCCAUACAAAACAAAUUCUAUACAUUGUACUUAUUUUUGUAUGCAUUCUAUUUACAUUACACACCCUGUAUAUCGCACAGAAAAGAAGAUAAUCCAAGAAGAAUCGAUUAGGGCUGUACAGGAUUUACACUUACCCCUUAACUCCGUUAACAUUUCUGUCCAGGCAAUUCUAUAUCUGAUUUAAUAAAUACGAAGAGACUUAUAUGUGUAUACUUAACAAUUAUAAAAGAACGACAUGCUGGUGUGAGAUAAAAAAAAUUUGAUCGAUCAAUGGAAAAUAUCCCCUUGUAUGGUACGCGUGUGUAUGUAUCAUCGAGGAAUGUAUAAAUUCUUAAACGCAGGCUAUCCGCUAAAAAAAUCACGCAUUUAUAAUACAUUAUCCACGAUUUUCGAUUACGAUAAUUGCAAACCCUCGUACGUCAACCGCAGGGUCAUUUUGACCUAGCUAUAAAAAAUAAAAUAUGCAAAAUAUAAAAAGUUCGUUUCUUAAGCUCAUGCAGAAAAUAUAAUAUUUACACCUGACUGUGUAUUUCGAAUUUUCCAUAUAAUUCAAUUUUCGAUCCCACAUAUACGUUUUAGUUACGGGCAUUGGUGUAACUAUAAGAUAUGGGCCAAGGUGAGCUUAGACUGCAGGCUCUAACGAUACACCGCGUGAUCAUACAAUGUAUGGUAAUAUAUUGCGUAACUAUACUACGCAUGACGAUCCAACAUGUGGCCAUAUAACGCAUGGCCAUCGUUAUACAAAAAUUUUUAUGACGCCAAUAAUUAUGGGUCAAAAUAAUUAUAACCCAGAAUGUCUGUUUUCCAAAUGUUAACCGAUUAAUACCCGGAGAUAGAUAAAUAUAUCAUUUCCAAGAUUGUACUUUCUAUUGCAAACAAAAAUACAUGCAGAUAGGUAACACUAAUAAUACGACCAAAUUGUUUUCUUGGCACCGUAGAAAACUUGUUACAAUAAAUAAGUAUUUAUAUACUUAUAAUAGUAAAUAGGUAGUAAAAGAAAAAAUAUUGUAAUCAGAAAAAAUACACCGUAGUUUUGGGUAUUAAUAGGUUAACAAUUUUGCUGCAAAAUUUGCAAAAAUAAAUGGCUUUGAUAUCGUUUAACAAUACGUUUCGUCAAUUUGCUUAAUGAAAAUUCACAAGAAGAAUAAUAAUUUUUCAUUUUUAUGGAAUGUUUUCUAUACUAAUAGCAUAUGUUGUAUUAUGUACAUUAGAAUGUUUCUCUUUAGGUGCUUAUCGAGAUCACAGAAAAUGAUUCGUAGUUUCCAUAUAAUAUUUCUAUAAUAUAUAUAUGCCUAUGUAUGUGUGUUUAUAUAUAUGUUAUGCUAUUACACACUUUACUUAAUUAUAUUUGAUUGACAAAUUUUAUAUAAUGCAAAAGAUAUGUAUAAUAAUUAUACGAGCAUGUAUUAUCGAUUUCUUUCUAAAUAGUUUCCAAUGUAUCUGAAAAUUAUAAUUCACUUUUUUUUAUAAUACAGGUUGAACAUUAAUUUCGACUUUGACACAUUUUACAAAUACGUUUGAAAAAUUGCAGAUUGAUGUUUCCAACGUUAUGAAAUCGUAAUUUGAAAUUAAUGGACAAAUAUUUGAACAGUAAAUUGUGUUGGAAAACCAGAUGAAUUAUCUGGCGCAUCUAAUACUUGAGCGUGCAGUAAUACUUAAUUCGUUUCUUUUUUUUGUUUUUAUAUACUUGUGUCUUGAAUAACAUACAAUUCUAAAUAAACUGAAACAAAAAUAAAAACGGA